rnacentral:rRNA from 1 species
UACGGAUGGAGCAAGCGUUACUCGGAAUUACUGGGCGUAAAGGGCGCGUAGGCGAUUUUGUAAGUCUUGUGUGAAAGCCCAAAGCCUAACUUUGGAAGUGCACAAGAUACUGCGAGAAUUGAGUUCCGGAGAGGAAGAUGGAAUUCCCGGUGUAGCGGUGAAAUGCGCAGAUAUCAGGAGGAACACCAAUGGCGAAGGCAGCUCGCUGGAACGGUACUGACGCUGAGGCGCGAAAGCGUGGGGAGCGAACAGG